rnacentral:rRNA from 1 species
AUUGAACGCUGGCGGCAUGCCUUACACAUGCAAGUCGAACGGCAGCACGGGGCAACCCUGGUGGCGAGUGGCGAACGGGUGAGUAAUACAUCGGAAUGUACCCAGUAGUGGGGGAUAACUAGUCGAAAGAUUAGCUAAUACCGCAUACGCACUAUGGUGGAAAGCGGGGGAGUCGCAAGACCUCGCGCUAUUGGAGCAGCCGAUGUCCGAUUAGGUAGUUGGUGGGGUAAAAGCCUACCAAGCCUGCGAUCGGUAACUGGUCUGAGAGGACGACCAGUCACACUGGGACUGAGACACGGCCCAGACUCCUACGGGAGGCAGCAGUGGGGAAUUUUGGACAAUGGGGGGAAACCCUGAUCCAGCAAUGCCGCGUGUGUGACGAAGGCCUUCGGGUUGUAAAG